CUUCCUUCCAGCCUGGGGAGGAGGAGUUAAAAGAUGAAGUUAGGGGAUUCAGCCAUGUGAUUCAGCCACAGGCAAAGAUCCUGAAGACAACAGGAUAAGGAGCUGGAGGAGAAAGGCUACAAAGUGGGGAGAUCUGAAGAAUCUUGGCUGCAGACAGAAGGAAAGAAAUCAAGAAGACCAACCAGGACAGGUGUAAGAAAAUGUUUUAAACAAAAGAGAUCAUUUCACUGACCUACUUAUGGAUAGAUGACUUUUUGGACAUAUUUGGGACAGACAACAGCUCUACUUGCAAGUCCAUCCACCUGUUCUGUCCCAAGGAACAUCUUGUGGCCACUUUUUGGGCAUGGGAUCCCACAUAAUGCCAUUAUGAGCAACAUCCGAAAUACCUUCAGUUGACGGGAAUCAAGAAAUGUCACAGCUUUUCCCUACCUUCCCGGGCUGUGGGUGAACCGCCUCAACUCAAAAGAUCAGGGACGAUUCAUUCUAAAGCCGAGGGAUUCUGCAAGAAAACAGCAGCAGAGCGUGUGAAUGGCAGUGAGAAACAAUAUGACCACCGAGGCAACAGACUGUACUGACCACUCCGGGAGCUUAUCCAUCUAGGACAUGUUGUCCCUCAUCAAGGAAAGAGGUCCAAACAAUGAGGGUGUUUUUAUAAUAUCACCUAACGUGACAUCAUGCCAAAUCUUGAAGGAAAAACUGGACUGCGGAGUCUACGUGAACCUGAACAACAAAUGUGUUCUUGUGGUCACGUCUGUCCUAAAGGGCCCAUAUUCCGAACAUUAGGGAACAAAGCACACUGGGUCCUAAGGAAAAAGACCGACUCUCAUCAAGAAGUAGAUUUGUGAGAGGAAUCGGAGGUUGGAUCCAUCUUCAAGUCUUUUAUCACAGACGCCACCACCGAACUUGGUUCUUUUGAGGCUGCUUAUCAGUGUGUUACACACGAUUAAAAGUCGAACAAAAAGGGGGAACUGUAGAGAGCUACGUAAUGCCGCGCCUUAAAGAUGGAACUGGUUUCCGCCUUCCACCUUCCCGAUGGAAGCGAUACUCACUGCGGACAGCAAAAGCAGUGGUGGUGACAACGAUAUGAUGGAGUCUAUUCAGUUCUGACUCAUACUAACUGCGACAAACAUAGAUGAGAUGACUGAAAACAACGUGGCAAAAAUAAACAAGGAAGAGAGCAGUUAAAGAUAAACUUGGGGUCUUUCCUGAGACUGCUAUUCUAACCAAGGACUAUGCAUGGAGAUAACCUAAGACCCCUGCACAGAUGUAGCCCAUGGCAGUUCAGUAUCCAAGUGGGUUCCAUUGUAAUAGGAAAAGGGACUGUCUCUGACAUGAACUGAUUGGCCUGCUUCUUAAUUACCUCCCCCUGAGGGGGAAGCAGCAUUACCAGGCCACAGAAGAAGACAAUGCAGCCACUCCUGAUGAGACCUAAUUGACUAGGAUCAGAAGGAAGGAAAAGAAGUCCUCCCCUAUCAGUGGACUUGGGGAGGGGCAUGCAGG